UUAAAUAAAUUAAUAUUAAUCAAUAUAACAAAAAAUAUUUUAACCAUAUGGUCCUUUCGUACUAAUAUGGAUUAACAAUCUUAGGAUAGAAACCGACCUGGCUCACGCCGGUCUGAACUCAGAUCAUGUAAGAAUUUAAAGGUCGAACAGACCUAAUCAUUGGGCUCCUGCACCCAAAAUUUUUCUUAAUCCAACAUCGAGGUCGCAAUCUGCUUUGUCGAUAUGAGCUCUCAAAAACAAUUACGCUGUUAUCCCUAAGGUAACUUAAUCUUAUGAUCAUAAAUUAUGGAUCAAAAUAACAAACAUAAAUAAAUGAUAUAAUAAUGAAGAGUUUAUCUAUUCUUCAUGUCACCCCAACAAAACAUCAUCAUUAAAUAUAGAAAGACAAACAAAAAACUAUAUAAAAGUAAAAUGUAAAGCUCUAUAGGGUCUUCUCGUCCUAAAGAAAAUUUAAGCCUUUUGACUCAAAAGUUAAAUUCAAAAAUUUAUUAAGAGACAGUUGAUUUCUCGUCAAGCCAUUCAUUCCAGCCACUAAUUAAGAGACUAAUGAUUAUGCUACCUUUGCACGGUCAAAAUACCGCGGCUCUUUAAAAAUACGCUCAGUGAGCAGGCCAGACCUCAAAAUAUAAACAAGAGGACAUGUUUUUGAUAAACAGGCGGAAAUCAAUUUUGCCUAGUUCCUUAUAAUAAGUUCACAAGGUAAAAAUUUCAUACAAAUAAAUAUACUAAUUCUAUCAUUAUUACAAAAAUUUUAAAAUUAAAUUAAAAUCUUAAUAAAAAACCUAAAAUAUUUAUAAAAUCAAAAUAAAAAAUAAUGAACUAAAACGUAAUCUUAAAGAUAGCUGGUUUAAAGCUUACUAUUAUAUUUCUAUAAAAUAAAUUAUAGGUUAUUAACUUCAAAGCUUAUCCCUUAAAGAAUAAAUAAGUUAAUAUUUUUACUUAAAAAAUUAAAUAAAAACAAAUAACUUUAAAAAAUUAAAUUUUUUCUUAAGAAACUAGAUAUCUUGGGAAACGAUUAACAUCUCAUUUCUAUAAAUAAUUUAAUUAUAAUUAUGAUACAUUAACUAUAAAUUAUUUAUAAAUCAACCCAAAUCGAGACAAGUAAAAUAAAUACUAAAAUUUUGAUAAACCCUGAUACAAAAAGUACAAUAAAUAAAAUCUACUUAAAAAAAUUUAAAAUAAUAUUUCAUAAAACACUUACAUUAGCAAUAAACUAUAAUUUAAAAAAUCAAUUCUAUAAAAUAUACUAAGACAAAAAUACAAUAAAAUUAUUUAUAUUAAAUAAUUAAAUAAACAAAAAAUAAAUAUAAUAA